CUAAAAAGUUUUUCAUAUAAGUUAUCAUAAUUAGUUCUUCACUUCAUGAGAUUUUGGCUUGUGAAAGCUUUCAUAAGAACAUUCUACUUUCAGAUAGUGAGGGAAAACUACAGUGGUUGCCAAGAUAUACUCCAAAGAAGAGAAAGUCCUUCCUGGAAUGGAAUUCUCAGCAAAUUGAAUUUUGUGAGAAUAACAGUGAAAAGGAGAAGACUUCAGGCUCCAGUUAUGGCUGAGUGGAAUGAGAAGAGCACAGCUAUACACUCAAGAACUAUGGAGAGAUCAGAAGGCAUAAAACCAUUUUUUAGGCCCUUGAAAUGCUUCUAGGCCUGGACACUGUGCCUGUACUGCCCAGUACAAUGGAUAGAAAGGAUCUGCAACCUUGGGCCUCACCUCUCUGUAUUCCAUGAGGUGCUGUUGCUCCUGCUGUG
rnacentral:lncRNA from 1 species